GACGAACGCUGGCGGCGUGCCUAAUACAUGCAAGUUGAGCGCUGAAGGUUGGUACUUGUACCAACUGGAUGAGCAGCGAACGGGUGAGUAACGCGUGGGGAAUCUGCCUUUGAGCGGGGGACAACAUUUGGAAACGAAUGCUAAUACCGCAUAAAAACUUUAAACACAAGUUUUAAGUUUGAAAGAUGCAAUUGCAUCACUCAAAGAUGAUCCCGCGUUGUAUUAGCUAGUUGGUGAGGUAAAGGCUCACCAAGGCGAUGAUACAUAGCCGACCUGAGAGGGGGAUCGGCCACAUUGGGACUGAGACACGGCCCAAACUCCUACGGGAGGCAGCAGGAGGGAAUCUUCGGCAAUGGACGAAAGUCUGAACGAGCAACGCCGCGUGAGUGAAGAAGGUUGUCGGAUCGUAAAACUCUGUUGGUAGAGAAGAACGUUGGUGAGAGUGGAAAGCUCAUCAAGUGACGGUAACUACCCAGAAAGGGACGGCUAACUACGUG
rnacentral:rRNA from 1 species